UACGUAGGUGGCAAGCGUUAUCCGGAUUUACUGGGUGUAAAGGGAGCGCAGGCGGGAGAGGAAGUCAGCGGUGAAAUACAUGGGCUUAACCCAUGAACUGCCGUUGAAACUGUUUUUCUUGAGUGAAGUAGAGGCAGGCGGAAUUCCGAGUGUAGCGGUGAAAUGCGUAGAUAUUCGGAGGAACACCAGUGGCGAAGGCGGCCUGCUGGGCUUUUACUGACGCUGAGGCUCGAAAGUGUGGGGAGCAAAC
rnacentral:rRNA from 1 species